ACGUAGGGUGCAAGCGUUGUUCGGAAUCAUUGGGCGUAAAGCGCGUGUAGGCGGUCGACUAAGUCUGGGGUGAAAUCCCGGAGCUUAACUCCGGAAGUGCACUUGAUACUGGUUGACUAGAGGAUGAGAGAGGGGAGUGGAAUUCCUGGUGUAGGGGUAAAAUGCGCAGAUAUGAGGCAGAACACCGAUGGCGAAGGCGGCUCCCUGGCUUAUUACUGACGCUCAGGCGCGAAAGCGUGGGGAGCAAACAG
rnacentral:rRNA from 1 species